rnacentral:rRNA from 1 species
AGUUUCCGUACGUGAACCUGCGGAAGGAUCAUUG